rnacentral:rRNA from 1 species
GUGGUGCAUGGUUGUCGUCAGCUCGUGCCGUAAGGUGUUGGGUUAAGUCCCGCAACGAGCGCAACCCUCGUGUUUAGUUGCCAACGUUGAGUUUGGAACCCUGAGCAGACUGCCGGUGAUAAGCCGGAGGAAGGUGUGGACGACGU